UAUAAUGGGUCAGCGACUUAUAUUCUGUAGCAAGGUUAACCGUAUAGGGGAGCCGCAGGGAAACCGAGUCUUAACUGGGCGUUAAGUUGCAGGGUAUAGACCCGAAACCCGGUGAUCUAGCCAUGGGCAGGUUGAAGGUUGGGUAACACUAACUGGAGGACCGAACCGACUAAUGUUGAAAAAUUAGCGGAUGACUUGUGGCUGGGGGUGAAAGGCCAAUCAAACCGGGAGAUAGCUGGUUCUCCCCGAAAGCUAUUUAGGUAGCGCCUCGUGAACUCAUCUUCGGGGGUAGAGCACUGUUUCGGCUAGGGGGUCAUCCCGACUUACCAACCCGAUGCAAACUACGAAUACCGAAGAAUGUUAUCACGGGAGACACACGGCGGGUGCUAACGUCCGUCGUGAAGAGGGAAACAACCCAGACCGCCAGCUAAGGUCCCAAAGUCAUGGUUAAGUGGGAAACGAUGUGGGAAGGCACAGACAGCCAGGAUGUUGGCUUAGAAGCAGCCAUCAUUUAAAGAAAGCGUAAUAGCUCACUGGUCGAGUCGGCCUGCGCGGAAGAUGUAACGGGGCUAAACCAUGCACCGAAGCUGCGGCAGCGACACGAUGUGUUGUUGGGUAGGGGAGCG
rnacentral:rRNA from 2 species